AUUUAUAUAGUUUAACUUAAAACAAUUCAUUUUCAAUGAAUAAAUAGGAAUUUCCUUAUAGAUA
rnacentral:tRNA from 1 species